rnacentral:ncRNA from 1 species
CCCGCUGAGUUUAAGCUAGUCAAUAAGCGGAGGAAAAGAACUUACAAGGAUUCCCCUAGUAACGGGCGAGCGAACCGGGA